UGCAAUUUAGCUCAAUUUGGUAGAGCUUUCGUCUUUGGUACGAAUGGUCGCCGGUUCAAUUCCGGCGAUUGCAA
rnacentral:tRNA from 1 species